rnacentral:rRNA from 1 species
GACGAACGCUGGCGGCGUGCUUAACACAUGCAAGUCGAACGGAAAGGCCCUGCUUUUGUGGGGUGCUCGAGUGGCGAACGGGUGAGUAACACGUGAGUAACCUGCCCUUGACUUUGGGAUAACUUCAGGAAACUGGGGCUAAUACCGGAUAGGAGCUCCUGCUGCAUGGUGGGGGUUGGAAAGUUUCGGCGGUUGGGGAUGGACUCGCGGCUUAUCAGCUUGUUGGUGGGGUAGCGGCUUACCAAGGCUUUGACGGGUAGCCGGCCUGAGAGGGUGACCGGCCACAUUGGGACUGAGAUACGGCCCAGACUCCUACGGGAGGCAGCAGUGGGGAAUAUUGCACAAUGGGCGGAAGCCUGAUGCAGAAACGCCGCGUGCGGGAUGACGGCCUUCGGGUUGUAAACCGCUUUCGCCUGUGACGAAGCGUGAGUGACGGUAAUGGGUAAAGAAGCACCGGCUAACUACGUG